rnacentral:rRNA from 1 species
CUUAACACAUGCAAGUCUACUUGAUCCUUCGGGUGAUGGUGGCGGACGGGUGAGUAACGCGUAAAGAACUUGCCCUGCAGUCUGGGACAACAUUUGGAAACGAAUGCUAAUACCGGAUAUUAUGUGAGUUUCGCAUGAAAUUCAUAUGAAAGCUAUAUGCGCUGCAGGAGAGCUUUGCGUCCUAUUAGCUAGUUGGUGAGGUAACGGCUCACCAAGGCGAUGAUAGGUAGCCGGCCUGAGAGGGUGAACGGCCACAAGGGGACUGAGACACGGCCCUUACUCCUACGGGAGGCAGCAGUGGGGAAUAUUGGACAAUGGACCAAAAGUCUGAUCCAGCAAUUCUGUGUGCACGAUGAAGUUUUUCGGAAUGUAAAGUGCUUUCAGUUGGGACGAAGUAAGUGACGGUACCAACAGAAGAAGCGACGGCUAAAUACGUGCCAGCAGCCGCGGUAAUACGUAUGUCGCAAGCGUUAUCCGGAUUUAUUGGGCGUAAAGCGCGUCUAGGCGGUUUGGUAAGUCUGAUGUGAAAAUGCGGGGCUCAACUCCGUAUUGCGUUGGAAACUGCCAAACUAGAGUACUGGAGAGGUGGGCGGAACUACAAGUGUAGAGGUGAAAUUCGUAGAUAUUUGUAGGAAUGCCAAUGGGGAAGCCAGCCCACUGGACAGAUACUGACGCUAAAGCGCGAAAGCGUGGGUAGCAAACA